CCUACGGGAGGCAGCAGUGAGGAAUAUUGGACAAUGGUCGGAAGACUGAUCCAGCCAUGCCGCGUGCAGGACGACGGUCCUAUGGAUUGUAAACUGCUUUUGUAAGGGAAGAAUAAGGAGUACGUGUACUUUGAUGACGGUACCUUACGAAUAAGCAUCGGCUAACUCCGUGCCAGCAGCCGCGGUAAUACGGAGGAUGCGAGCGUUAUCCGGAAUCAUUGGGUUUAAAGGGUCCGUAGGCGGGCAUAUAAGUCAGAGGUGAAAGCGCUUAGCUCAACUAAGCAACUGCCUUUGAAACUGUAAGUCUUGAAUGAUUGUGAAGUAGUUGGAAUGUGUAGUGUAGCGGUGAAAUGCUUAGAUAUUACACAGAACACCGAUAGCGAAGGCAUAUUACUAACAAUUAAUUGACGCUGAUGGACGAAAGCGUGGGGAGCGAACAGGAUUAGAUACCCCAGUAGUC
rnacentral:rRNA from 1 species